rnacentral:rRNA from 1 species
GACAGAGGUGCCAAGCGUUAUCCGGAUUCACUGGGGUUAAAGGGUGCGUAGGCGGGUUGGUAAGUCCGUGGUGAAAUCCCCAAGCUUAACUUGGGAACUGCCGUGGAUACUAUCAAUCUUGAAUAUCGUGGAGGUAAGCGGAAUAUGUCAUGUAGCGGUGAAAUGCUUAGAUAUGACAUAGAACACCAAUUGCGUAGGCAGCUUACUACACGAUCAUUGACGCUGAGGCACGAAAGCGUGGGGAGCAAACAGG